rnacentral:rRNA from 1 species
GACGAACGCUGGCGGCGUGCCUAAUACAUGCAAGUCGAGCGGACAGAAGGGAGCUUGCUCCCGGAAGUUAGCGGCGGACGGGUGAGUAACACGUGGGCAACCUACCCUGUAGAUCGGGAUAACAUCGAGAAAUCGGUGCUAAUACCGGAUAAUCAUUUGAAGUGCAUGCUUCGAAUGUAAAAGAUGGCUCCGGCUAUCACUACGGGAUGGGCCCGCGGCGCAUUAGCUAGUUGGUAAGGUAAUGGCUUACCAAGGCAACGAUGCGUAGACGACCUGAGAGGGUGAUCGGCCACGCUGGGACUGAGACACGGCCCAGACUCCUACGGGAGGCAGCAGUAGGGAAUCUUCCGCAAUGGACGAAAGUCUGACGGAGCAACGCCGCGUGAGUGAUGAAGGUUUUCGGAUCGUAAAGCUCUGUUGUUAGGGAAGAACAAGUGCCGUUUGAAUAAGGCGGCACCUUGACGGUACCUAACCAGAAAGCCACGGCUAACUACGUGCCAGCCGCCGCAGUAACAC